CUACGGGACGCACCAGUGAGGAAUAUUGCACAAUGGGGGGAACCCUGAUGCAGCAACGCCGCGUGGAGGAUGACGCAUUUCGGUGUGUAAACUCCUUUUAUAUGUCAAGAAAAUGACGGUAGCAUAUGAAUAAGCACCGGCUAACUCCGUGCCAGCAGCCGCGGUAAUACGGAGGGUGCAAGCGUUACUCGGAAUCACUGGGCGUAAAGGACGCGUAGGCGGGUUGGAAAGUCAGGUGUGAAAUCCUACAGCUUAACUGUAGAACUGCACUUGAAACUACCAACCUAGAGUAUGGGAGGGGGAGAUGGAAUUAGUGGUGUAGGGGUAAAAUCCGUAGAUAUCACUAGGAAUACCGAAAGCGAAGGCGAUCUCCUGGAACAUAACUGACGCUAAGGCGUGAAAGCGUGGGGAGCAAACAGGAUUAGAUACCCCCGUAGUC
rnacentral:rRNA from 1 species